CAGCACGCGUUGCGCGCACGACGCGAGUCGCGCGACCUAGCCUAAUCCGCGUGGGGCGCUUAUCUCGAGCGUACUAACCUCAAAGCCGCGAGGGGGGAAACAGGAGAAGAAAGAGUAUAGCGGGAGGUGGAGCAAAGGCGGUGAAGGAGGAGGAGGAGAANUACCUGGAGGAUUCGCUGGCCUCCUGUCGUCGUGUUGAAUACGCCCGUGGAAUCCUUUCUCGAUCACGUGAGAGAAAGAGAGAAAGAGAGAUAGAGAGAAAUAAAAAGAUAAAAAGAGGACGAACGAGAGAGUUGGAGCCCUUGGCUAUAGAACGGAAGAGCAAUAACUUAAUCGUCGCCACGUGUCGUCCAAUCUUCUGUCUUUUUUCUUCUUAUUAUUCUUAUUCUUGUUGUUUUAUUCUUAGACUUUUUUAAGUUGUCCUCUUAAUAAUAUUGUUAAUUAACAAAGGAAGACUAACGCAGAAGGACUUUUGGAAGAGAGGAAGAGGUGACGGUCGUUGGGAGAUGAUGGGGUGGUGGGGAUACGAUCUCGUGAGACAAUCGUUGAUCGAAAGUAAUCCGCCAUGUCAGGGGGACACCAUAAUAUCGUUGACAAGAAGCCUACGAUAAUCGUUUAAGGCGUUUGAUGAUUUUUUGAGAAUCGAUCGAUAGGAUCGCAUCGCGUAACGUUACUUGUUACGUUUCAUUGCUCCGUUACGAUUUAUACGUUCGUUCGUUCGUUCGUUCGUUCGUACGUACGGUUGUUUGUUUGUUUGUUUGUUUGUUCGGUAAAAAAGUAUAGACGCCGGUAAGUUAGUUCGUUCCUUCGUUCCUUCGUUUAUUCGUUCGUUCGUUCGUUCGUUCGUCGUUCGAGCCGAAGGAAAAGCCGAGUGUUCGCGAUACAUUCGUUCAUUCGUCGUUUGUUCGUUCGUACGGUCGUUCGUUCGUUCCUUCGUUCGUUUGUUUCUUCGUUAAUUUUCGAUUUCGUGCCGCGAUAAUCGAAAAAGUGUAAAACGUGAUAAACAUAAACGUUAAAUAAUAAAAAGAAACAUUGAAAAAGGAUUUAAUCCUCCUCAUAAGAUCGAAUAGAAAAGUGUUGUUUUGUUCAAUCUUCCUGUGAAUGGAUGGCGAACAUAGGUGUUGAAGAAACAACGAGGAUCGUACGAUGAGCGACGGUAUUGCCGGUGCGAUCGCGAUCAGUUUGUUCGGAGACGAGAAGAAGAGGAGGGACAGCAUGGACACUGCAGGUUAUUCGGCUCUUUCCAAUGACGACGUUUGCAGAAUGUUCGAUCAGUAUUCCUAUAAGAGAAACGACAAUCUCAAUUUGUCCUUGAACGACGGUUACAAUAUGGCUGACCAGACAUUUCACACGCCAAGUUUUGGAGAUGAGGUUUUUGAUAUACCACCUAUACACCCUCAUCCACAUCAACAACAUCAACCGCAACAACAGCAACAACAGCAGCCUCAACAACAACAGCCUCAACAUCAUCAACAACAUGAUCCUAUGCAUGGAUAUCAAUCACAGAUGAUACAGUCCGCUGGAAUGCAGCAAUCUCCGGAUGGCCUCAGUCUUGAUCCCGGUGGGUACCAACAACAAAUGUACCUGCAACAGGAACACUCGAUGCAAGCCAUCAAUGUCAGUUCAGCGUAUAGCAGUCCUCAAGGAUCAUAUACGACUAUGAGUUCACCACGUCAACAGCAUAGCAAUUUGUUGUUACUUCAACAACAACAACAGCAACAACAACAACAGCAACAACAACAUCAACAACAACAACAGCAUCAACAACAACAACAACAUCAACAACAAGUGCAACUACAACAUAUGCAAUAUAUGCAUUCUCAGCAACAACAACAACAACAACAGCAACAACAGCAGCAACAACAACUUCAACAAUUACAAUAUAGGAGCCCAACUGGUGGUAGUCCACCUGCUAUUCAAUCUAACAUACCUGAAAAUAAUAAUACUACCACUAGUGAAGAUAGUGAUGACAGUACACCUCAUUCAGGAACUAUCGCUGGAAUUAAACGACCGUCACCUGAACCGACAGAUGUGGGAGCUAAAAAUCAGAGGAAAACUAAAUCACAAAAGAAGAAGAAGAAGAGAGACCCUAACGAACCCCAAAAACCAGUCUCAGCGUACGCUUUAUUCUUCCGAGAUACACAAGCAGCCAUUAAAGGACAAAAUCCUAAUGCGAGUUUUGGCGAAAUUUCGAAAAUAGUUGCAUCAAUGUGGGAUGCUUUGGAAAUCGAGCAUAAGAACGUUUAUAAGAAAAAGACUGAAGCAGCAAAGAAGGAAUAUUUGAAGGCUUUAGCAGCGUAUAGGGCUUCUUUGGUUAGUAAAGGAGCUGCUGAGAAUGAACAACAACAGCAGCAACAGCAUCAGCAACAACAACAACAACAGCAUCAACAACAACAACAACAACAACAACAGCAGCAGCAACAACAGCAACAACAACAGCAACAACAACAGCCGCAAGUGCAAUACACCGGAUAUCCUAAUUACGGCGGAAAUGGUGCACCAGGAAAUGUUGCAUAUGAAGUUUACAGUCCGCAACCGCAACCAUCAUCACCUCAACAACAACAUCAACAACAUCAGCAUCAACAGCAUCAACAUCAGCAGCAACAUCAGCAGCAACAGCAGCAACAACAGAUGGCCAUUAAGAAGUCACCGCAUCAUCUUACGAUGCAGGGUAAUCCUCAACAGCAGGCACAACAGGGAUUAUUGGGCAAUGCCAUGGCAUCGGCGCAUAUGACACAACAACACAUGCAGCAACAGGUGUCACAGCAGCAAUACAUGCAGGUGCCACAGCAACAAGUACAGGUACAAGUACCUCAACAACAACAAAUGAUUCAUAUGAGCCCUCCUAGAGGAGAUUCACUUUCAAGCCCACCUCCGGUAAGUGGUUCGCAAGCUGCCAUGGUAGGACAAAGACAACCAACAAAUGCAUGUAUCCGUCAUGGAUGUCCAAAUCCUGCAGUAGCCAAUAGCGAAUGGGAAGAUGAGUAUUGCAGUAAUGAGUGCGUGGUCAGCCACUGCAGGUUUGUAGAUGUCUUCACCACGUGGGUAUCGUCGAAUCAAAAUCCUCAGCAGAAUUUCUCCACUGUGAAAUAAGUGUUUACGCAAAAUGAUGUCGAACUACGUCGUUAAACAAAAAUUACAUAAAGGUUUUUGCCAAUGCGAGGAAACCUGUUGUUAACAGUAAGAUAUCUAAACUAAAAUGUGUAUAUAUAGAGGCCACAGCGGAAUGACAAACAAAAAACAAAAAAAAAAACAAAAGAAAAAAAACAAAGGGAAAAGUCAGCGCUAAAAUACUAUCAUAAAAUACAGUAAGGACUAUAAAAUGAAAUAAAACUCAAAAAACAAUCUCACGAACUAUUGUAUGCGUAAAGAAAUAAUAUAGCAUCAGGAAAAAGCGAAUAAUCACAUAAAGAUAUACCUACACAUACAUAUAGACAUACAUACAUACCUACAUAAAUACAUUUUAAAUCAGAUAGAAAAAAAUACAAAUGUAUUUAUGUUACACUUUGUAGAACGGACAGAUACAUACUUGUAAAUUAAGAAGCCUUAUUUACAAUAAUCCAUUUUACUCUGGUCAAAAAGUGUCUAUCUACAAAGCUCGGGGCAUAUACUACUACUAUUAGAAAAUGAGAGAGCAGGAUUAAGUAACCAGAAUGAGAAAAGAACUAAAGAAGAAGAAGAAGAAGAAGAAGACUUUGCAACAAUUUUCCUUUUUCAUAGGAUUGCAAUAAUAAACUAACUACUUCUUUGUUGAUAGACGAUACGAGGCGUGCCAAUUGUACAGUUAAUACAACAAACAGUACGUUCGUUCUUUUUAAAGUCCCGAAUUAAUAAUAGAUGAAAAAACAAUUUUUCACACUAAUGAUCCAUUGAUAUGAUUCUUAGAUCAUUUUUAUUGGGAAUCCAUUUUAAAAAGGACACACGACACGAAAAUAAUGAAAUAAAAAUUCAAAUCGUCCUUAUUGUACGAAUUUACAUCCAUAAUAAUAAUAAUAAUAAUAAUAAUAAUAAUAUGAUAAUGAAGAUUUUGAAAGAAUUAUAAAAUGAGACAGUGGAUGAGAGAACAUUAUAGUCGUACCAUUUUAACGGGGUAAAUGAGAAAUACAGAGAAAGAGGAGAAGAGUGAGAAGAAUAAGAAGAUGAAUAGAAAAAGAGAGGAUGGAAGUAAGAUACGGCGAGAUAGAAUGGGAGGGAGGAGCAGUUUAAGAAUUAAGAAAAUAAUAAUAAGAACAAAAAAUCAAUCAUGUCUGUAUAGUAAA
rnacentral:misc_RNA from 1 species